rnacentral:rRNA from 1 species
UACGGAGGGGGCUAGCGUUGUUCGGAAUCACUGGGCGUAAAGGGCGCGUAGGCGGCCAUUCAAGUCGGGGGUGAAAGCCUGUGGCUCAACCACAGAAUUGCCUUCGAUACUGUUUGGCCUGGGACCGGAAGAGGUCAGUGGAACUGCGAGUGUAGAGGUGAAAUUCGUAGAUAUUCGCAAGAACACCAGUGGCGAAGGCGGCUGUCUGGUCCGGUUCUGACGCUGAGGCGCGAAAGCGUGGGGAGCAAACAGG